rnacentral:lncRNA from 1 species
ACAGAAGGGUUUGAGCUACAAAGACGAUACGUAUCCAUAAGAGAUUCAAAAAUAGAAUUCAGCGUAACACCCAUGUUAGAUAAAUGCCUCAAAAUUGACUUAACAUUGUCAUGCCAUCAAAUAAUUACACAAAAUCGAUUAACACAGUCAAUGAAUGAAACAAGCGAUGAAUAGUACAAAAAGAGUGACCUGAAUUACUUUCAAUUUUUCAAAGAAACCUGUUGCCCAUUUACAAAGAAACUCAUGCCGAUGAAGCUAGACACGGACAGACCCGACCGAAAACCUCAAUGAAACAACCUCGGACUCCGACAGUAUCUCAAUCACGACUUCAAAACAAAUUGAAUGGACAAUAUCUAAAAUAAGCCAAGCGAAGCUUGAAACCAGAUUCAAGUUUCUCUCAUGCUCACAAAAGCUCUACUGGUUCGCUGUUGUCCCUUUCUCGUUUCUAUGCAUGCGUGUGGUUGUGCGUGAGUGUUUUCCGGCGAGCUAUGGUAAAGAGAAGGAGGAGAAGCGAUGGGUGUUAGAUAAUGGUCGAGAUUCGGCCGGCUGCUUAAGGUCGUUCGCAUUUUUCUGGCGAGCUAGUGAGAUCGAGUGAAAAACAAAAGUCGUUGUUGUUGUUAGGGUCGUUGGUGUGGUGGUCACUGGUUAAUGUUGCUGAAGCUUAGGGGUGUUCAUGGAGUUCUAUGGUUGUCCCUUAUUUGUGAAGAAUAUUAUGAGGGGUUCCUUUUGUUUUUUGUUUGUUCGCUGCUCAAGAUCAGGUCUCAUGAAGAUGAAGCUCAACGACUGCUUAUGGUUUGUAGAGGAAGAAGAAGCAACGCUGGAGGGGGUCGUGUGUUUAUGGCUACUACAGCAGCUUCUAGGUCUCUAGGGUUCUUUUGUGUUCUCCCCAAUGAAGAAGAAGGGUGGUAACGGGUCCUAGGUCUCAAAAACGGCUGAAGGGUCUAUUUUUGUGUAUUUGCAGCUGAUUCUUAAGGGUCUAGGGGUCCUUUUAUGCUUAGAGAUAUUUAGGAUUUAAAAAAAAAGAUCUCAUGGGCCUAAUGGAUUUUUGGGCUUUAACAUUGAAAUUGGAUUGAGUCCAUAUUUUAUUGGGUCUUAAUUUUGGGCUAAGGAGACUACAAUAUGAAAAUAUAAAAUUUACUCUUAAUUAAUUAGAACACACUACUAAAAUAAAACUAGAUAUUAAAAGUGAAACUAUUUUUUUUAUUUUCAAGAUUAUAAAAGAUAAAAAUAAGGUACUAUUUUUGUAUUUUUUAAAAUUUUAUGAAAUGUACAUAAAAUAAAAUAUUUUUUGUAAUUUUUAUUUUUGUGACGGAAUAAAGUAAAAGAGUCAUAAUUAGUUGAAAUAGCGAUAUUAGGCCUAAACCAAAUAUUUACAUGCUAAAAUAUAAAAAAUCUUGAGGAGCGUCAAAAAUCACAUGUCUACAGCUGCCCCUCUUUGACUGGAAACACGAAGUAUUUUCAGACAAAGAACGACUAGAUAGGUUUUUUGACCCGACCCUUAUUUAGAGAGACCAAAAACUAAGAGGAAGGAGAAUGUGACCAAGCCCUGGUGUCUGAGCUGCCUACAUAUCCUUGGCUAUAAAGGAAUCAGCCCACGUGUAGUUCAGAAGUAGGAAUAGUGAUGGAGUAUACCGAGGUGGAAAGCCGGUCGAGGUGCCACUCCGUCGAGGUUCUGGUACGUGAUCCUGUUAUUACAUCAAAAUUAAAAAUGAAAAGGACUAAAUAAGCCUGUCAACUAUGAGUUACAAGAUUCCUAUCUAUAAGUCUUUUGAAACUUGAUCUUGAGUUCUUGAGUCUUGAAUGGUUCUUCAUGCAGACUUUAGAUUUGAACCUUGACUCUUACUAGCUGCAGGUGCUAGUUCAUUCUUCUUCGGAUCAACAUCGGACAUGCAAUGCUCGUGAUUUCAGCCAUGUCUUGAGCAGUUCACAUCUUUCUCUACUUUUGCAUUUUGGAUUCACUUCUUUCUCUUUUUAUUUUUUUUUCUCUUUUUUUUGGAUUGAAACUGCUUCUGUUGGUCAUCUCGGACUAUUGACUCGCAUUCUUGCUACGAGCUUCUACUACUUCUAACUUGAAUUGAAUUCUGAAAUGACUUCCAUUGUUCUCCAGGUGGGCUCCUGCUACUGACUUGAAACUUGAAAUAAUUCCGAAACAAAUUCCCUUUGUUCUCCAGGUGGAUGCCUGCAAUUAAAACAACAAAACAAACGAAAUUUUCUGCCCUAGUUUGCACUAGGAAGAUCUGUGAAUUGUCAGCAAAACUGUAAACCACUUAUGUUAUGAAGUAAUAAUGAGAGCAAACUAAAGACUCGACUAGGAUGUGCGUAUCCUAUGAGUAAAACCAAGAAAAUUUGACUAGCAAAUGCAUCCACUAAAAAUAAAACCUAAAUGACCCAGAUUAGGAAGUACGUCUCCUACGGGUGAAACUUAAAUGAACCAAACUAGAAAGUGCGACUCCUAGGGGUAAACUCUCAAUUUAGGAAGUGCGUCUCCUAAAAGAAUAACUUGAAAGACCUUGAUUAGGAAGUGCGUCUCCUACAGGUGAAACUUGAAUGAACCAAACUAGGAAGUGUGUCUCCUAGGGCUGAACAUAAAUAACCUAAACUAGGAAGUGCGUCUCCUGGGGGUGAAAUCUCAAUUUAGGAAGUGCGUCUCCAAAAUGUAUAUCCUGAAAAACCCGGACUAGGAAGUGUGUCUCCUAGGGGUGAAACUUGAAUGAAACAAACUAGGAAGUGCAUCUCCAAGGGUUGAACUUAAAUGACCUAGACUAGGAAGUGCGUCUCCUAGGGAUAAAAUCUCAAUUUAGGAAGUGCAUCUCCUAAGACAAAAAUAUAACCUGAAAUACCCAGACUAGGAGGUGCGUCUCCUAAGGGUGAAACUUCAAUGACUCAAACUAGGAAGUGUGUCUCCUAGGGGUGAAACUUCGAUGACUCAAACUAGGAAGUGCGUCUCCUAGGAAUGAAACUUAAAUGACACAAACUACGAAGUGCGUCUCCUAGGGGUAAACUCUUAAUUUAGGAAGUGCAUCUCCUAAAAGUAUAUUUUGAAGAACCCAGACUAGGAAGUGCGUCUCCUAGAGGUGAAAUCUCAAUUUAGGAAGUGCGUCUCCUAAAAUAAAAUUUAACUUGAAAGAUCCAGACUAGGAAGUGCGUCUCCUAGGGGUGAAACAUCAAUGACUUAAACUAGGAAGUUUGUCUCCUAGGAAUAAACUUAAAUGACCCAAACUAAGAAGUGUGUCUCCUAGGGGUAAAAUCUCAUUUUAGGAAGUACGUCUUCUAAAACAAAAUAUAACCUGACAGACCCAAACUAGGAAGUGCGUCUCCUAGGGGUGAAACUUCUAUGACUCAAACUAGGAAGUGCGUAUCCUAUGAAUGAACUUAAAUGACCCAAAACUAGGAAGUGCGUCUCCUAGGGGUAAAAUCUCAAUUUAUGAAGUGCGUCUCUUAAAACAAAAAUAUAACCUGAAAGACCCAAACUAGGAAGUGUGUCUCCUAGAGGUGAAGCUCAAUUUAGGAAGUGCGUCUCCUANNNNNNNNNNNNNNNNNNNNNNNNNNNNNNNNNNNNNNNNNNNNNNNNNNNNNNNNNNNNNNNNNNNNNNNNNNNNNNNNNNNNNNNNNNNNNNNNNNNNNNNNNNNNNNNNNNNNNNNNNNNNNNNNNNNNNNNNNNNNNNNNNNNNNNNNNNNNNNNNNNNNNNNNNNNNNNNNNNNNNNNNNNNNNNNNNNNNNNNNNNNNNNNNNNNNNNNNNNNNNNNNNNNNNNNNNNNNNNNNNNNNNNNNNNNNNNNNNNNNNNNNNNNNNNNNNNNNNNNNNNNNNNNNNNNNNNNNNNNNNNNNNNNNNNNNNNNNNNNNNNNNNNNNNNNNNNNNNNNNNNNNNNNNNNNNNNNNNNNNNNNNNNNNNNNNNNNNNNNNNNNNNNNNNNNNNNNNNNNNNNNNNNNNNNNNNNNNNNNNNNNNNNNNNNNNNNNNNNNNNNNNNNNNNNNNNNNNNNNNNNNNNNNNNNNNNNNNNNNNNNNNNNNNNNNNNNNNNNNNNNNNNNNNNNNNNNNNNNNNNNNNNNNNNNNNNNNNNNNNNNNNNNNNNNNNNNNNNNNNNNNNNNNNNNNNNNNNNNNNNNNNNNNNNNNNNNNNNNNNNNNNNNNNNNNNNGUCUCCUAGGGGUAAAACUCAACUUAGGAAGUACGUCUCCUAAAACAAAAUAUAACCUGGAAGACCCAUGAAACUCAAUUUAGGAAGUACGUCUCCUAAAACAAAAUAUAACCUGAAAGACCCAGACUAGGGGUGAAACUCAAUUUAGGAAGUGCAUCUCCUACAACAAAAUAUAACUUGAAAACCCAGACUAGGAAGUGCAUCUCCUAAGGGUGAAACCUCAAUUUAGGAAGUGCAUCUCCUACAACAAAAUAUAACUUGAAAACCCAGACUAGGAAGUGUUUCUCCUAGGGGUGAUGUGUGAUCUUCUCAAUAGCCUUUGUGUAAGCAGAUUUGGGACAUUACACCUGAAAGAUUCAAGCUUUGAUAUGAACAUAGCUUUCAUCCCUGUUUUAGAAAAAGAAAACUUGUGAGUUUAAACAUGGUGGUUGGUUUAUGGCCUUGACUUUGAGGGCGAUUGCUCCUUCACUUGCCAUGAUAACUUUGAUUUCAAAUUGAAAGACAUUUCUUGUUUAUUGACUAACCACUUUCUCCGUCACCCUUAUCACAGAAAAUACCUCUAAUUCAUUCAAACUCAAUACCAUCUAUCUGUUGUAUUUUUCUCAUGAAUUGAUAUUUACCGAACCUUUGCAUUUCACAUGAAUCCCAAAACAUACUGAUUGUUACCAACUCAAUGCGUAUACUGUCCUUUCCUGACUUAUGCCAUUUUUAUGUACCAGCCAGAUUCCGUUUUGUGCAAUUGGAAAACUGGUAGCGAAUUUUAAAGUCAUUUCUCAUGUGUUCUGACCAAACAGACUCAGGAAGAGGAAGUAAACAAGACAAAAGGAACAGAGUAAAGGACAAUGGAAAGAGAUGAUUCCUAACAAGAAAACUACAAAGUAGAAACUUAUCAGAUGUGGAUACCAACUCUAAUAACCAUGACAUGCACCUUUGGAUUAAGUGGCCUAAUCUGUCAAGCAAGUCUAAUGUUCAACUCUCGUUGUACCUCUGAGUCGUGAAAGGUUUUCACCAUCAAACCUCUCUCAUUUUGUUCUUUCUCUCAAAUUAUCGUCGCCUUAUAGUGCCUGUGAAGGUUUUCACCGAUAAGACUCUCUCAUUUUUUAUUUUCUUCUUUUUUUUCCUCUGAUUCUGCAGAUGACAAGGCAUUAACCACGAUAGAAAUAUCAUAUGCUUCUAGCAUGUCUGACUCGGCAUUCAAAGACCAUCUGGGAGGUCUUUUUUGGACUAUAAUGUGGCUUUUGGAUAGGGUUAGAAAGAAAGGAUAUCAUAAAGGCUCAAAAUAACUAAGACAACAGGAUUAAUUUAUUUACAAUUUUUGGAAUCCAUUCUAAAAAAUGUUGCCCCAAUUUCUAAAACAAUGGAAUUUGAUUCUCUUUUUUCUGUUUUUCUUUUUGAAAUGGAAUUUCUAAGAAAGACUACCCCACUCUCGACUUCGUGGGACUAUGNNNNNNNNNNNNNNNNNNNNNNNNNUUAUUUGGUGCGACCGAACUGUAAGACUGCCUACGUAUCUUGUGGUGACAAGAAUCAGGUCGAACGUAGUUCACAAAGAUACUUUUUGUUGCUAUUUUCCUUUCUUUUUCUUUUUCCUUUUUUUUCUUUUUCUCUUUUCUCUUUUGUUUUUUUUCUUUUGACUUUUCUUUUAGAAUGAAUUUUCUAAAACAAACCUUAUGGGGCAUGAUUUUUUUUUCUUCUUCUUUUUGUAAUGGCUCUAACUCGAUUCCAAAAGAGGGGAAGGUCAAGAAAAUUAGUAUAGGUUCAAAAGGGGUAUCGAAUGGUAUAAAGUGUUUGGGUAGCUGAAAGAGGGCCUCCUAAUCUCUGAAAAUGCCAAGUACAACACAUGUAGCUUGAGGAUGAAAAUUGGAGAUCAUGUAUAGCACUUCCUUGCAGCGACGACAUUGAUAUCACAGAUGUGCCUUCCACCUUUCUUUAGUGCCUUGUCAAUUACAGAACUCUUGUUGGGUAAUUUCUUCUUCACACUGGAUGUCCUCCGCUAGUUUGGAGCAAACUCUUUUGGCUUUAUCUUGUAACUUGAGAUGCACUUGACCUGAAAGUUGCUCGCUUCAAAUUGUUGGGGCGCACUCUCUCGUUACAAAUUCUUGUCGUCCUAUUAACUUCCCAAACCAUCUACCCUAGUUUCACAUAUUGGGCUUUAAAUGACCUCAAAAUAUCCAGAUCUUUACUUAUUUCCCUCAAAUGUCCCAAUCAUCUUCAAAAUUAUUUCAUUGCUUCAUGACUAAACUAACUUUUAAGACCAGGUUGAGAAUUAUGCGUGCAUGUCAUGUCACUAGAGCCAGCAGGAAAAGAACUAUAAAAGAAAAGAGAACUAAACAAAAAAUGACUAGAAAUAAUAGAAAAUAGAAAAUUGUGUUAGACAGAUGGUGAAAGGGUUUGAACAAUGAAACAAGCAAACUAUACUGGAGUUACAACCCUAGAACAAAACUUGAUAACACUAAACGAGUUACUACGACUAAACGAACUAGAAAAAAUAAAAGUAUAGAGGGGUUUGAGUCACAAGACAAUAUCCGGAUUACAACCCUGAAAUAACUUGGACAACAGAAAUGACAACAAAAACCACCAAGACUCCUCCCCGGCUAGCCAAGAAAGGAGCAUCUUUCCAAUCACCAAGCUCAACAUCUUAGCCACUGAGUUCCACAUCAAUAUUACUGGGACCUUCACCAAUUUCAAUCACAUUGUCUUCACCAAGUGGCUCAUUGACUCCUUUGACCAACCCUUCAUCAUUGCAAACUAUCCCAAAAAUUUGUGCGUUGUCAUGUAUCUGUAGAGGAUUACAUGUGACACUUGGGGUAUUACUGCCUUGGACCACAAUUAUUCCUUCUUGAAUCAUUCUUUCCAUUUCCCUUUUCAAAUAAUGACAAUCUUCAACAUUGUACCCCUAGGCAUUGGAAUGGUAUUCACACCUUUUAGCAGGGCCAAAGCUUCUUGCACGUGGGCCUAUAAAAUUUGGAGGAAUAGGUUCAAUCAUGUCGUAAUACUUUAAUUUCUCAAACAAGCUUGCAUAGGAUUCUCCUAUUGGUGUAAAAUUAUCUUUCAGCCUUUGUUCCCUUCUACACCAUUGGCUUGGAUGUGGGUUAUAGGGCACUUGAAAAUUUUGUGGAGGCUGGUGGGGAUUCUGCGAUGCUCGUGCUCGCCUUUUGGAGUGACCUAGUGGUUUGACAGAUGGUCGGACGUUGUUUGGAGGAUAAUACUAGGGUGAAUUAUGUGGAGCUUGGGGAUAUUCAUGGGGUCGUUAUUGAGGCUGAAAGCGUUUAGCAGGAAUACCCACUGGAUCAUGUCGUUGGCGGGGCUCAGCAACAUAUUUUCUACCAAUCGGAGGACUGACCCGAGCAACUUGUUUGUUCCAUCUAAACCAAAACUCCCUAAAACUUUCUUUGGGUUUCUUUUCCAUCUGAGACAGGAAGGAGCGGUCUGGGAUAAUGUCUAAAUUGUACUGAAAGUGUCGAAUAAAAUCUUGAGUCAUGUCAUCCCAUGCAUGCCACUUCUUGAUAUUUUGACGAGUAUACCAUUCCAAGGCUGCCCCACUCAAACUCUCACUGAAAUGUGCCAUCAACAAUUCAUCUUUCCCGCAAACACUUCUCAUUUCACUGCAAUAACCCUUCAGAUGGGCUACUAGAUCUCCACGCCCAUCAUACAAAUCAAACUUUGGAAUCUUAGACCUAGCAGGCAGUUGGAUGUCAAGACACAAGCACAAAUCUUUGUAAGGCACGCUCAUCUGGUUCUCUAUCCCUGGCAUGUUUCUUAAAGACUGCUCUAAGAUUUUCACCUUUCUGGAUAUUUCAUCUUGCUCCACUAUCUUAGCAGGCUUUUUAGUUUCACCGAGAAGCUCAAAAUAAGAAGCGCGAGAGUAUGGAUCCGAGAACUUGAAAGUUGGUUCUGGAGCACAGUGUUGGGCAUCGGGGAUUUUGAACACAGUCUCUCUAGAGGAUCGAGGAAAGGUAGCUGGUGGAGGAGCUACAAAAACAUGAAUGGUCAAAGGAGCAGGAUAUGAUGUGGUUCUGGGGGUGGAGUGUGAAAAGAUUGUGGGGAGAUAUCCUGGACUUGUGACAGUAGCGGAAUGGUGGCAAGGCUUUCAGUGUAGUUAGUAGGAACUGAUGGUGGAGGACGCCCACUAAUCCCAGCUUGGUAUAUUUCGGUCAUCUGUCCUUUCAACCUUAAGGCCUCUUCUUUCAACUCAAAUUCUGAUUCAACAAUUCCGUUAGACGGAUCAAUAACCCCUGUGUCCGAGUCUUGGCUAGCCAUGGCUACCUUGCUUUUUGAACUUGUGUCGUAUGGAUGAGUUACUUAAGAACCACAAACCAACCACCCUUCUGCUCAAUGAAGAUAACAAAAGGAAUAAAAUGGUAUCAUCCUGUUAGCAUUAGGACAUUUACCAGCUAAAAAUAUCACAUUGCGUGCAAUGCACCUAGAAACCAUUAACGGUUCUAGAAUGAAUUCGAAAGUUAGAAGGUCACUUGGCAUCAUCCCAAUUUUGUUCAUUUCAAUAUUCUCUUUUCUUUCUUUUCUAGCACUUAUUGGCCUGCUCAAUUUCCUUCCUAUCUUUUUUUCUUCUAAUUAUCACUCUUUUCUUUCCUCUCAUUUCUCACAUCCCAUAAUUUCACCUCUUCUUUUUUUUCGUUUCCCUUUUUUCUUUUCUUUUAAUUUUUUUAAAAAAAUAAUUCGAUCGAACCCUAUGUAGGUUGCCUACAUAUCAUGUCCGUCAUGAAUCAGACCAAGCGUAGGUCUGGAAGAUCGAGAAUAAAGAAAACAAACUAACAUUCUCUUUUUCUUAUUAUUUUUUUUACCUUAAUGACUACUCUGAUGAAAAAAAAAAGAAGAAGGAAAUUCUCCUUUUUUUGUUAGACUUAAAGUUCUAUAAUCUAUUCUAAAAUCAAUCUUAAACGAGCAUAUAUUUUUCUUUUUUUCUUUUUUUAUUAAAACAGAUACUCUAUGAGAAAUUAUUAAGGAAAAACCCCUAGAAGAAAAAAAAAUUUGAUUCGUUUUUUUAGGAAGAAAAUCUAAAGAAUGAACCAAAGAAAAAUAUUUUAAAUUUUCACUUGAUAUCCUGAUGAAAGAUUUUGAAACAAGCAAUGAAAAAGAUAAAAAAUGUUUUUGGAUUUCAGUUUUUGAUUACCUAAAGGAAAAACUCUAAAGAUAAACAAAAGAUAAAGUAUGUUUUUUCUUCUAUAUACAAUGUCCUAAAGUUCUAGUGGAAAUAAAAAGAGUAUUUUUUUUAUUUUAUAUAUAUUUCCUAAAGAAGAACCUCAAAAGAAAGUCUUUUUUUUUUUUGGAUUUUUGUAAAUAAUAUCUUAAGAAAAUUUCUAAAGAGGUAUUAAAGAAAAUUCUCUUUUUUUUUUAAUUUUUUUGUUCGAAUUUUAGUCUUAAUGUACUAAAGGAAAUAUAAAAAAUAAUAUUUUUUUAUUUUGAGUUCUAGAUAUUAAUUUCCUAAAGGAAAACCACCUCAAAAGAUUUUUAUAUUUUUUUUAUGAAAUUUUUUUUUAGAAUUAAUAUUCUAAAGAAAACUUCUAAAGGAAAUAUAAAAAUGCAAAAUCUCUUUUUUUGGAUUUUUGAUUUAUAACCCAUUUUUUCAAAUACAAAAUAGGAAGUACAAUAACAAAAGACUCGACAAACUUACUAGACUAUGACAGACUUCAACAUCCCUUAAAAGAUUAGAUAUUACUGUACAGAACUAGAAGGUAAAACACGACAUAAAAAGAAAAACAGACCCAAAACAUAAAAAAUAAAAAAUAAAAAAAAUCUCCUUAAGCAACUCCUGAAUGAGCGAUCUUGACUGGAUAGUCCUAAGGCGUCUGUCAUGCCCAAACUCCGGUAAGUAGAUCCACAUCUGUAUGCGAAAAUUAGACCAAAUAAAGUUAUAGACCUAGAACACUAUGUGAGACAAUAACACUUCAUGUUUGACACAUGCAAGACAUGAUUGAGGCUAUUUUGGCAAAACGGCCUGCAUGGCCCAAAAGUGGCUAGACAUGCAAGAUUUGGCUAAGACCCCGAGAAGACAAGAACCUAAGACUCACUAGGAAGACCGGACCCUAUGUGGGCUGCUUACGUAUCCCACCCCGAAAGACGAGAAUCAGGUAUGCGUAGUUCGGGCGGAUUAGAUAUGGUCGAGAAUUAAAAAACAACUAAUUUAGUGAACACAUAUUUUUGUUUUUUUAAAAAAAAUGAUGGGAAAGUUCAAAAUCUUUUUGGAUUUUUUCAAAAAUAAAAUUUCGUCUUUUUUUUCUUUUUCUUAAAAAAUGUGAAAGAAAAACAUAAUUGUGCCCUACUUGCUUUAUUUUUACACUUCACCCUUUUUUCUUUCUCAUUUACCCUCAACUAUCAUUGGUCCGCCAACUAACCCUUUUACCCUUGAAGAAAUGCAACAUGCAGCACAUAGGAUGCAUCAGGAUGGUCUUUUAUUUUUGGGUACACCUGUCCUAGACAGACCCAACCCCUGUGUUAAGUCCCCAAAGUCAAAUGCACGUGAUGCAAACAAGCGUUCCUACUAGGGAUCCGGCAUGAGGUUAUGUUAUUCUAAGUUUAAAUCUAGGGUUGUGUUCUUGACCUGGCUUAUCCGAGCAGACAACUCGAGUCGAAGAGGGGGAAACGUACCGGGAGUACGAAAGUCUACCCGGCCUUGUUGCUGGCCCAGCCUCGUUCUAUUUGGUAUAACUUCUAACAGAAAAAGUGGGCCACACAAACGUGUGCACCAUAUUAGAAGACUCAGAGUGGUGGCGUAAGAAGACAGUUAAAUACAGUGCAAAUAAUAUCAAAGUAUUAAAUAAACAGCAAUUAGCACAUUAGCUCCAAAAAAAUACAGUAAUAUCAACAAUAAAUAAAGCUAAGUAAAAUCAUGUUAACAAGCUCGAAUUCUUGAAUCCUGAACCAGAAGUUCUGGGUUCUUGACCCUGUCAGAGUUGUCACACCUCCUUUUUCCUACCCCGAAAGGGUAUAUAAGAGUGUUCUUUUUUCAAUUUAAGUGACAAUCGAAACGGGAUUAUUUAUAUUAAAUCAGAGUCUCCAGUUGAGAUAAUUCAUGGUGUCCCAAGUCACCGAUUUAAAACCUGGAUCGAGGAAGUUGACUCUUAUUUAUGGUCUGCGAACACAGAAAUUCGGGUAAGGAAUUCUGUUAACCCAUGAGAAGGUGUUAGGUUCUUCAGGAUUCCGUGGUUUUAGCACAGUCGUUUUGAUUGUACUUGGCUUAAUCAAAUUGUCUAAUUACUCAUUUUUUGAACCUAUGUGCAUUUGCCUCUUUUAAUUAAGAAAUUAUCUUAAAACAGGUCACGCGCACGUGUACCCAUUUGUUUGGCACAUAAAAAAUCAUGUCACGCGAACGUGUCCACAAUUAAUCACGUUCUAUUAAUAUUAAGAAAUUUUUGGUCAAUGUUGUGCGAAAGCAUACUCCGAUUUUGUUUUUAGAAUCGUAAUCAUGUCACACGAACGUGUACUCGAUCACGAUCAUAUAUGCUAGUUAUUCACACUUAGAAAUGUUUAACACUCACUACUCUAUCUGUUGAGCUAUUUUUAUAUCCAUUAAUUUGUAAAAGAUGGUUUAACUUAUAACUUGUUUACCCUAAUGGUUUGCUGUUAAAGUUAUUAAUCUAGUUUCUCGCAAAUUUCAGCAAAACCAAACUUUAAACUCACUUAAAACCCCAAUUAAAAUAUCAAAAAUAGAAGGGUUCGAACUACAAAGACGAUGUGUAUCCAUAAAAGAUUUAAAAACAGAAUUUGGCGUAACACCCAUGUUAGAUAAAUGCCUCAAAAUUUACUUAAUAUUGUCAUGCCAUCAAAUAAUUACACAAAAUCGAUUUAACACAGUCAAUAAAUGAAACAAGCGAUGAAUAGGAGAAAAAGAGUGACCUGAAUUACUUUCAAUUUUUCAAAGAAACCUGCUGCCCGUUUACAAAGAAACUCAUGCCGAUAAAGCUAGACACGGACAGACCCGACCGGAAACCUCAACGAAACAACCUCGGACUCCGACAGUAUCUCAAUCACGAUUUCAAAACAAAUUGAAUGGACAAUAUCUGAAAUAAGCCAAGCGAAGCUUGAAACCAGAUUCAAGUUCCUCUCAUGCUCACAAAAGCUCCACUGGUUCGCUGUUGUCCCUUUCCCGUUUCUGUGCGUGCGUGUGGCUAUGUGUGAGUGUUUUCCGGUGAGCUAUGGUAAAGAGAAGGAGGAGCAGCGAUAGGUUUUAGAGAAUGGUCGAGAUUCGGCCGACUGCUUAAGGUCGUUCGCGUUUUUCGGGCGAGUUGGUGAGAUCGAGUGAAAAAGAAUGGUCGUUGCUGUUGUUAUGGUCGUCGGCGUGGUGGUCACUGGUUAAUGUUGCUGAAGCUUAGGGGUGUUCAUGGAGUUGUGCGGCUAUCCCUUAUUUGUGAAGAAGAUGAUGAGGGGUUCCUUUUGUUUUUUGUUUGUUCGCUGCUCAAGAUCGGGUCUCGAGAAGAUGAAGCUCAACGGCUGCUUAUGGUUUGUAGGGGAAGAAGAAAUAACACUAGAGGGGGUCGUGUGUUUAUGGCUGCUGCGGCAACUUCUAGGUCUCUAGGGUUCUUUUGUGUUCUCCCCAAUGAAGAAGAAGGGUGGUAACGGGUCCUAGGUCUCAAAAACGGCUAAAGGGUCUAUUAUUUUGUGUAUUUUCAGCUGAUGCUUAAGGGUCUAGGGGUCCUUUUAUGCUUAGGGAUAUUUAGGGUUUAAAAAGAAAGAUCUCA